rnacentral:misc_RNA from 1 species
AUCAACAUUUCAGAGAAAGCUUGCUGUGGAAUGCAUCUUUUGCUCUGCAUGUAUCCGCUUCGUAGAGUGUUGCCCACAAGAAGGACUUACAGAGAAACUAUGGAUUGGGCUUGAAAAUUUUGUUUUCGAUUGGUUAAUAAAUGCAGACAGGGUUGUUAGCCAGGUUGAUUACCCUUCAUUGGUUGAUUUAAGGGGGCUUCUUCUGGACUUGGUUGCCCAGCUCCUUGGUGCCCUAUCAAGGAUCAGAUUUAGUUCAGUGACAGAGCGCUUCUUCAUGGAACUCAACACGCGGCGGAUAGAUACUAGUGUUGCUAGAAGUGAAACACUAAGUAUUAUAAAUGGAAUACGCUACUUGAAGCUUGGGGUAAAGACAGAGGGUGG